GUUUUAGAAACUUUAGAGUGUUUUCUAUCCAAAUCUACUAAUUAUAUGCAUAUUCUCGUUUCUGGGCAAGAGUAGUAACCAGUUUAAAUCGGGUAUGUUUUUUAUCCGGCCGUGCAAAUACUGCCCCCUAGCCCCAACAGGUUUUAAUCUGGAUGGUCUCCCUUUGUUCAAAAGUACCAAUAUGUCAUUAUGGCCACUUUUGUGCUCCAUCAAUCUAUCACCACCCACAGUGUUUCCUCUGUUACUUGCAAUGGCAUCAUCGAAACCAAGCUCCCAGGAAUUCCUCAAUGACACUUUGCUGGAGCUUAAAGAGUUGAUGCAGACCGGCUUGAAGUGGGGAGACACAACACUGCAAGUGAAAGUUUGUUCUGUAACAUAUAAUGCACCUGCAAAAGCCAUGGUAAAAUGCAUAAAGAUGUAUUCUGGCUACUAUGGCUGUGACAGGUGCACACAAAAAGGCAGGUAUGAUUGGAGGAUGAUGUACCCGCAGGUAAAAAACAUGUGUCCCAGAACUGACAAAUCCUUUAGGGAAUUGGUACAGCCAGAACAUCACCUUGAAGGGAAAACCUCUCCUUUUUGCAUCCUCCCCAUUGAUAUGGUGAAGUCAUUCCCAAUUGACUAUAUGCACCUUUGUUGCCUCGGAGUAACCCGGAAGCUCUUGAUGAUGUGGACUAGGGGAAAGACUGGGGCCAGGUUGGCGUUGGUGCAAGUCAAGGAGGUAAGUCAACAACUAAACCGACUAAAGGAUUCAAUUCCAGACUGCUUUGCUCGCUAACCACGGGGAUUGGAUGACCUUGACCGUUGGAAGGCCACAGAAUUCAGACAGUUUCUACUCUAUACUGGGAAAGUAGUGCUGAGAAGAAUCUUGUCUAAAGAACAGUACACACACUUCAUGGCCUUCAGUGUUGCCAUGUGCAUUUUGGUUUCUCCUCAACUUUCUUCAAUCCACAGUGCCUAUGCUCAUGCUUUACUGAACUUCUUUGUGGAGCAGGGAAGGGUUUUGUAUGGUGACACAUUUCUCGUGUAUAAUGUUCACUCCUUCUACACCUCACUGCUGAUGCUGAAGAACAUGGCUGCCUUGACAACUGUAGUGCUUUCAAGUUUGAGAACUACUUGCAACAACUAAAGAAGAUGAUCCGUUCAGGGAGGCGGCCACUUGUGCAAAUUUGUAAAAGAGUGCAAGAACGCACCGUUAGAGCUUCUCCCCGCCAACAGGUCAUCAAAAUGAGACGGCCAAACGAUGCCUACAUACUUAAUGAUAGGUCAUGCUGUGAGGUAGUGAGCCAACAAGAUGCCUCAGAUACUUACCUCUGCAGGGUGUUUCAGCAUCUGGAAUCUUGCACGCUGAGUCCUUGUGACUCAAGACUGUAUUGGACUUUCCUCACCACUACGAGGAGCACACAAAUGCAUCUCAUUGCAAAGAGCAGUCUUGUUAAGCAAGCUAUUAUACUUGAGGAGGACCAUGGCACUCGUGUUGUGCUUACCAUCUUGCACAGCCUGUAGCAAGCCCCAUUUAGCUACAGCCAAGUUCACAAGCUGGAUUAGUUUUGCAAACUAUCUUGGCUGGUAAAUCAAGAGACUGAACAGUGUGGAAUUGGUGUUUUGCUUUUCUACACAGGGCACACAGUGUUAUUAUGUUGUACAUUUUGUAAAAGAGAACACUGUUGAAGUUGUACCAGAGCAGUGGGUGGAGAAGAGAGAUGGGGUGAGUUGAUCAGUUAAAUGGUUUACCCUUUUCAGGCAAAGGGAUGGAUAAAUAGUUCACUUUAAACAGUGUCUCAUAUCUUGCAGGUCCUGUGUUGCUACUGGCCAAGAAAUGCCAGCGCAACAAUGAUUAAGAGAUGAGACCGGCCUGACAAAAUAUUAUGGGAGAAGUACAGAAUUUCCAUCUUUUCAUCCACUGGUAAAAUAAUAUUUUACUGUAUCCAUCCACUCCCGUUUAUAUUGCAACGUAUGCUUGGUGGUGUGGCUCUGGAGCAGGUUGCAUCAGUUGAACAUACGUAAGGCUAGUUCCAACGUAGAAUAUGUUCUAAGCCAGGCGUAAACCUGUGUCACCACCGGGUUGUAAGUAAUAGCUUUUUCUACGCCAGGGUGUAAAAACGAAGUGUAAUGUGGAGUAGACGUAUAGUAUAAAUCUAUAACUAGUUUCCAAGGUAAGUGUUUCAUGACUAGUCAUUUCGCGUCUUGUUCAAUUUUCUAAAUCAUUAUGUCGGGCGUAGGUAGGCCCAACUUAUCUCUUACACCUUAUUUGCGUCAAACUGGUGCAACACACUCCUGGUCAGUAGAGUCAGGAACUUCCCCCCCUUAAGUACCAUAUGUAUUUGCUGAAAGUAUUACUAUGUGAAUUACAAAUACUCAAUACCCUGUUUUGCCAGCGUUAAUAGGAAAGUAUUUAUGACUAUGUUUAUUGCACGUACAGACAAUUACUCUGUGGCAGAGCAAUGAGCCAAAUGGGGGGUUGACACCUCCAAUGUUGAAUCUGACGAGGAACCAGCGAAGAGGGCGGUGACUAAACCAAUCAGAUUCCGUGUGGAGGCACCUGAUGAUGAUGGAAGUGAAGCACUCCAGAAAAAGACAAAUGAACCCAGAUAAGCACAGCUUCCAGUUCCCCAGCUUCCACCAGCCCCUAGUGCAACUUCAAGAUCCAGUGUCUUUGAAAAGACCCUACAAGUUGCAGAUGCCGAGGACUUGAGGCCAUGUGCCACCUCAAGCCAGAGCGACAUUAGUCCAAGUGGCAGCCAGGAAGAAGCUGGCCAAGACACAGCAUCAGAAUCAGACCAAGAGCUGCCAUCCCUGCUUGAUGAGCCUAUGGCUUCUGAGAUGCAUGCUGGAUACAUUAAAGAUCUUCAAGCAGUGGAGAUGAGGAUAAUGGUGAAACUGGAGAUGAUCCGUACAGAGUUCAAGACUGUUCUGAACCAAGUUCUGGAGGCCAUAGAGGCCCGGCAGCCAAAGGAGUCGGAAUCCUUGGGGCAACUUGAAAUGCUGCAAAACCCUGCAGAAACAAAUGAGGAACUGAAGGAUAUCUGUGAAACACAAAGACUCCCACUAUCGAAAGAAAAUGAUCCGAUACCUGACCCUCUGCUGUGGCCUGGACCUGGGCUCAGGAAUCAGACGAAUGAUGAGAAAAAUUGGAACAGAGGAGCUGUGGACAGGCUACUCCUUGAAGGGCAGGAAGGGGAAGAGGGCCUUUAAUGAGCUAUCAAUCUAUGAUGCUGUCACAAGAGCAUCCCUGAAAGCACACCCCAAGGCUACCUACCAAGAGGUAGAUGACAAAAUAGCAGACGCUCUCAAACAUGCACCAGCUCGGCUCAAGAGUAAGAGAAAGGAGCGGGUUGAGGAAGCAGUGGAUGAGGAUAGAGCAGCAGCACCUGAAUAAACAUAACAUAGUUAUUCACUUUUAGCUUUAAGCAGUUUCACAGUUCUUGAUUGGAGUGCAGUGUUCAUGUUUUUACUGACUUGUUAUUUUGUGAGCUUAUUGCUGUGAUCUUGUUUCCGAAUCUAUUGUGAUACAGUUUAAGUAAAAAAAAAAAAAUGUAAACGUAUUUUCUGGAAUUUUGCAUAUUUCGUCAGUGGACACCUACCGACAGGAUACUGUGUAUAUGUUCAGGGUAGAUUAAAUGACAUGUCUUAAGGGGCCUCCCGAGUGGUGCAGUGGUCUAAGAUACUGCAUCGCAGUGCAAGCUGCGUUGCUACAGAUGCUGGUUCGAUACCUGUCUGUGUCACAGCCAGCCGCGACUGGGAGACCCAUGAGGUGAUGCACAAUUGGCCCAGUGUCGUUAGGGGAGGGUUUGGCCGGCCGGGAUGUCCUUGUCCCAUCACACUGUUACGUGCCUUAUUGGUACUGUAGGUACCCACUGACGAAAGUUAUGUUCCCAGUGGUUACCAGAAACUGCAUUUUAUGGGGCUCUCAACGUACUUUCUGACGUUUAGCAACAUUAUGAGAUUUACCUAAAAAUACACAUAUUUAACUGUUUAAAAUCCACCACAUUUCUACGUCCUGAAAAGACUUGAGACGUAAGUUUUGUCAGCGGACACCACAGCUACGUAGAAGGCACCUUUCACAAUAACAUGACUUAUGUAGGGACUAAAAUAACUUUGUGGUCACAUCCUGGAAUGUAAUUUUGUAGCGACUCCUGUGGCAGGCCGGGUGCAUGCACGCCAUAACGUCGCUAAACGUCAGAAAGUACAUUGAGAGCACCAU
rnacentral:lncRNA from 1 species